AUGCGGAUCCGCAGGUCCGCCUCCCGGCUGCUGGGCGGCGCAGCCGCUGCCUUGGCCCCCGCCCCGGCCCCCUCUGACCCGCCUCGAUUCGAGUUGUCCCCGCCGCCGCCGCCGCCGGCGGCGACGGACCAAGCCCACGAAUCCAGCGCCGGCUUGGUGGCGCCCGAGGCCUCCUCCUGCGUGGAGCCCUGCUGCGUGCUCAGCAUGUCGCCGUGGGACCUCAUGGACCAGUUCGACCUCGCGGAUCCCGAGGUGGAGGAACGCUUCGAGAAGACUUACUUCAGAACUACACGACGAGCUAGUUGGCUCUUCCCAUCCAGUAUCUGCAUGCCGAACGGCUCCAUCAAGGAGAAGACGACUGUAGAUAUGGUCGAUGGGGCCAUCAACAUGGCUGCAAAAACGACAAAGGGGAAGAAGAAUGAGAGCAAGUCAAAGACGAAUAAGGGGAUCAAAGUGAAGAAGGGAUUGUGGACAUGCAACAAGGGGGAUGGCAAGAAGCCACCAAUGAAGAGGCCCGUCGUUGACAUGGGCGAGGCGUUCUACUACUACGCAGGGUUUGGCCCCUCAUGCAACUCCAAGAGGCAUUGCAGAUCAAGCGGUGGUAGUAGUGUGCUGGAAGAACCUCCACUACCCAUUGAACAACAGAAAGAUGGGAGAAUGCCAACAUUGUCAACAUUGCAGAUCAAGAGACACAGGUCGAGAAGCCUAGGCUCAAUGGGAGAAUGCCAACAUUGUCAUCUGCGACAAGGAGAGAAACAACGACGACGCACUUGGUUGCAAUGGCAAACAAUUGCGCGACAUUAUGAUGAUGAAGAGCUUGUUCAAGAAGAGGUGGAGGAGGCCUGUUAA
rnacentral:rRNA from 1 species